rnacentral:misc_RNA from 1 species
GCCAUGGAUGUAUUUCAAGUAUUCAGACGAAUUAUAUUCACAAUGUAUUAUUUGUAAUAAAUAUAUUUUAUCUACAUUGGAUACUGUGGAGAAGCACUUAAAUUGGCAUGAAAAACAAGAGAAACAAAUAUAUCACGAUAAAUAUCAAGUACGCUGAAUUAUCAUCUAAAGCAGGCACAUCCGGAGAAAUUGAAAAAUACGCAAGAAGCAUACGAUACAGUUGGUUCAUCAGAACGCGUUUCAUCACUUGAAACGGACACAAUGUCUGAGUAACCAAGAGAUUAUUUUAAAUCAUUCAACCCAUCGGUCUGAAAUGCACUAUUGAGUUGGCUAUGGGAAUAUGUACAAAAAGAUGAUUUUGGAGCAUAGUAGUAGAAGCAUGAAGUAGAGCAUAAUAUUUGUUACACAGAAACAUAUCUAUUGCUAUUACAACUCAUUUCAAUCACCAUAUUAAAGAUGAACAUCAUUUGGCAAACCAACUAAACUGAAUAAAAAAAAGGCAAUUUAUCCAGAAGUUGACAAUGGAAAUGAUCCAAGUAGCAUCACAACCAGCAAUAAUGACAGUUUUGACAAUUAUAAUUUACUAUAAGAUAUACACAAGAAAAGUGGCAUAUAUAGCUCUAACGUAUAAUUAUUUGUUUUAUAAAGUUAUGAAUAUGAUGAUCUAUGUUAUA